rnacentral:rRNA from 1 species
AACGAACGCUGGCGGCAUGCCUAACACAUGCAAGUCGAACGAGACCUUCGGGUCUAGUGGCGCACGGGUGCGUAACGAGUGGGAACCUGCCCUUAGGUUCGGAAUCACUCCCCGAAAGGGGUGCUAAUAACGGAUAAUGUAUUCGGACAAAAGAUUUCUCGCCUUUGGGUGGGCGCGCGUUAGAUUAGCCAGUUGGUAGUGUAAUAGCCUACCAAGGCGACGAUCCAUGGCUGGUCUGAGACGAGGAUCAGCUACACUGGGGAUGAGACACGGCCCAGCCUCGGACGGGAGGCAGCAGUGGAGUAUAUUGGACAAUGAGCGAAGGUCUAGUCCAGCAAUGCCGCGGGAGUGAGGAAGGCCUUAGUGUUGUAAAUCUCUUUGUCCCGGGAUGAUAAUGACAGUAACGGGAGAAGAAGCUCCGGCUAACUCCGUG